UCUGCUCCUAGAGGGAUUGCAGGUACGGCUGUGUCACGUGUGCAUCAGAAGGUGGUAGAGAGGGGAGAAGAUAUGUCUACACUCAGUGCCCUGACCUGUGAACAUCUGCAUAAUUAGUAGGCUAACACU
ensembl:snoRNA LOC120103314 small nucleolar RNA SNORA17